GGCUUGGGAAGGCCUGCAGCGGGGCGAGGCGAGCCGACUCGGAGAGACGCGAGGGCGGCCGGGGCCGGGACGGUGGUGGUGGCGGGAGUGGGGGUGCGGGUCCCUCGUCAGCGUCCCCGGGGGUGGCGAGGCCCUGGCGCUGGGGUGGAGGCCGGGCUUCUCGCUCGUCUGCGCCGCCGACUCGCUGUGUGGCCGCGCUGAAGGCCCUGCCCGGCCCUGGGCCCCGCUUCCCAUCUGCUGUGAGUGGGCUUGGUUUUCUUGAGACCCAGAAUGUUCGUUUCUGUCAGAGAUAAAGGCACGGACUUGAUUCUCCCUGCUGUGGGCGGGGCCAGGCCGGUGUGGCUGCGGGCCGGAGCCCGCGGAUGCGCGCGCCCGCCACCGGGGGCCGGCCUGGGCAGGCUGCCGCGGGGAGCGGCCCCCCGUGCUCUUUCUCAGGGACCCGGAGCUGGGUCUGCAGGUCCUAGUUGAGAAGCAUUGGUUUAAGUUUGCUUGCGUGGUGACCUUGAGCCAUUUCGAUUUGGGACGGGAGGCUGCAGGCCCUGAACUUGAGUGGCUGUGGGGUGGCAUGCCCGGGUGAGCCUGAGGCCUUCACGGUGUGUGUGAAUUACCAUGAAAAUGGAAGCGCAGCGUUUAACGCCGUGUGUGGCACUUGCAGAUGCCGGAGCGUAGUUAGGAGUCUCUGGGACUGAGUUUGAGAAACUGCACCCGGGGAUCCACCAUGUGAGCUACCAGGUGUGAAUUUUUAAAAUGGCUGCGUGAGACAGCAGGAGACGGGAAGAACCGAAUUCAGGGCUCUAGACCGGGGGCCCUUUGGAGCAGGACCUGGUGAUUGCGGAGAGAGGGGAGGAGGCAGACUCUGUCUGAGAGCUGCUCUCCUAGGUUGUCAGCCAGGACAACCUUAGCUCCCUUAGCUCCCGGUUGACCCUAACUCGAGGGGCCAGGGGGAUGCCUGCCCAUCUGCCCAAGAAUUCCCUGAUUAGUGGUGGGGGGGGGGGGGAGGCGCUCCCAAGCUGCAGUUACUCCUAGUUCCCUGAUCAUUAACAUCUUUGUAAAAAGCAAACAAGCCACUUUAUUAUCCUCGUUAUUAUUGUCUAUGUAUGCAGAGAGAUGCCUGUCCCUGUAGGUGUCGGUAUUAGUGUGAUGGUUGCUUAUAAUAGCAAAAUAUUGGGAACAACUUGAUAUUUGACAGCGGUGGAUUAAAUAGCUGAAGUAUGUGCUAAUUAAUUACGUUAAUUAAAUGCAUUACAAUCACAGGGUAAACUUCAAAAGUUCAACUUCCUUGGCUUCAUCCCUGAAGAUUCUUAUUUUUGACUGGAAGUUCCACGGAAGUCAAGGUAUGGUGGCGGCGUUGGAGAUGACUCCCUCCACCCCCGAGCACCUUAUGACAAACUCCAAAAGAGACACAGAAAAAGGGAAGGAAUGCUGCGGCGAACCCCCGGAUGCUUUUAGGGAGCAGGAAGUGCUUGUGGAGGAGAGGGCAGCAGCAGCGGUGAACUGCCCUUGUUAUUACAGCGCUGCCUGUCAGAAUCGCCAGCGUCCGCAGCACUUGAACCUGAGGGCAAGCAGAGCGUUUGUGAAAGGCACGAAUGGCUAAAUGUCCACUGAGAGGCACAGAGAGGGGCCGCCUCAUGCUUAGGCAGAAGAAAUGGCCCCAUAAAAUGCCCCUGUCCCCUCCCUGCGACAGUGUAGUCACAGGCAAGCUCCUGCCCCGGAACCGCAGCUCCUGGAAUGCCAGCGAGGAGAGUCAUGCUUCCAGGGAGAGCAGUCGCUGUCUCCAGAGUCUUAUUUUGAAAUGCAAAUACCCUGGCGAGGGUAAUAAAUACCCUGCCAUGUGACAAGAUGGACCUGAGUAAUAUUCGUCUUCAUGAGAAAUGCUGGUUGUGGUGUGAGGAAGGUGCAGAGUUUUUGGCUAGGAAGUGGAUUGGAGAAGCAUUGGCUCCCCGGCUUCUGGGAAUCCCGAGGGUGGGAGCCUCUGCUGUGGAGCCGCUGUGUGGGCCUGUGGCGGACGAGGCCAUGAAGAGGAGGAGAUGCUGCCACGGAGGGGGCCAGCUGGAGUCACGGACUCUUGUCCAGCCUGGCCGUUGCUCUGGAGGCUUUUCUGCGCCCAGGUGUUUGCUGAAGCUUCUGGCUUCUCAGACUCCAAGCCAGGGCGGUUCCUCACCUGUGACAAGUCAGCCUUUACCGCGUCCGCCUGACGUUGAAUGGUAAUGGAAGAAUAUGCUACAAUUCUUGAGCGUGGGCGCCUUCGCAUUUCCAUUUUCCAACUGCUCAUUUGAUUCUAAACCACUUCAAGGGGAGUUUUCAGCAGAAAUUGUUAGAAUAACCACGUGUUAUUUUUAGCGGGACCAGAAAGUCAAGAAAUGGGGCUUAGAUGAAAUCAAAAGGGAAUGUGGUCAGAUGGUUGACCAGCUCGACCACCACAGUCCGCUGCGUGGUUGAGAGAAGGGGUGAGGAGGGGUCCUGGUUCCUUGAGAUUUAACAAAUGGAAGACCAGCCACCACUCCGGAUAGUGUUGCCGUUUCCCACCCAGUGACAGGAAGCUGACCUAGCUGGUGUCCGAGCUUCCCUCGGCUUGAGGACUUGAGGCUCCAUGAGUGCUGUAGGAUAAAUCAGUGGCUGCGAGUGUGUCCUGAGAGCUGUUGGGGUCAGGCCCCCAAGCUUCCUGCUGUCGACUGAACUGUGUCCCCCAGCUUCAUAUGCUGAAGCCCUAAUCCCCAAGCUAAGGCCUUUGGGGAUGUGCUUAGGUUUCGAUGAGGCCUGAGGGUGCGCUCUUAGGAUGGCGGUAAUGCUCUUAUAAGAAGAGACUAGAGAGCUCCUCCCUCUGUUUCGGCCAUGGAGGACACAGGGAGAAAGCAGCCAUCUGCACGCAGAGCUCUCGCCAGGACCCAAGCAUGCUGGCGCCCUGAGCUCAGAACUCCAGCCUCCAGAACGGUGAGAAGAUAAAUGUCUGUUGUGUAAGGUGCCCCGUCUGUGGUAUUUGUUAUGGCAGCCUGAAUGGAUGACGCUGCCCAAGGAGGUGCGGCCUACCUUGUCUGCGGAGGAAGUGGUGAGCGGGUCAGGUGCUCUCUGUUGUGGGGGCUGGGCAGCCUGGUGAAGCGUGCCACAGCGGCCCUGAAGACCCGGGUGGCUCAUGGCCACAGCAUGUCUGCUGGGGUUCGGCACACCAGGGUCCUCCUCCUUCCUCUGUGUAGACUCUUACUUCACUCCUCCUGAGAAAAAAAUGAUCAGAGGAGUUUAACUUUUUCCUUAAGAGAUUUCCGUAUAUCUUGGAAAAAAAUACAAAACAACCCAAUAAAUAGCCCUUUAUUGGAAAACCCUCCUGUGCUCCCAGCGGCAUUCUUCUCCAGCUGAAGACAUAUGUGAAUUUCCUGCUCCAGAACCAGCAGGAUAAACCCUGGAAUUCCGGGUCUCCUGUCAGACUGUGCUGGGCCUGGGAUCGCACCCUACUGCACAUUAACUAGUUAGCCUGCCACAGUUCCGUGGGUGCUGGCAGAAGGCACAAGGGGCCUGGCUCAGAGAGCAAGGACUCCAUUCUCACAGCAGUAGCAGGGGCCAGAGACGCAGCAUUUUCUUGUACUGGUUCAAAGCAGAGGGCCAGGUGACACCCGCACAUGCAGCGGGCUGUGUUAUGGGACAGGAAUGCUCCUGGUCCCUGAGUUGUUAUAAGGGGCGGUCAGUGUGCCUGCCCUUCGCUGCCGAGGGAGAGCACAUCUGUCUCUCUCUUCCGUGGCUGUCCGCCAUGAAAUAUCCUUGAAAGGUAGUCCAGAGCAAAGGCCUCUGCUCACAAGAUGUGCAGAAUGGGAGAGACCAUGAGGAACUGUCUCCCGACAUCUCCAUGACCUGUGUCCCACCUUAUCUGUCAUCACCCCUGCCUCACACUUUAUGCUCAGUCAUAGCAAACUGCUUGUCAUCCCUGCUGCGUGGGCUGUUCAUUCACGAUACGUCCGCAGCUCCAAUUGUCCUUUCUUCCUUCCCAGCCGCUUUUCGCUCAUCCUUUAACAGUCAGCUUGAGUGCUGCCGGAGGAGUAGAGGGCGUGGCCCAUUUCUCCUGAAGUCCUUCCUCGGUUCUCCAAGACUAUAUAGUCAUGGCCACUCUAAUGAUUCCAGGUGAAUUCAGAUGUAAGUACGGCUAAUUUUUCCAUGCAAAUACCUCCCCUAGCCAACUGCAAGCUCCCUGAGGACAGGGCCCUGCCGCGGAUGCCUCGGCAGGGUGCAGGCAGGCAGUGGCACACGUUAAUUCCUCAUGGACCGGCGGGCUGUUCGAAGUCUGUGACUCGGCAGUGGCCAUGCAGACGCAUGCUGCUGAGCUGUGCUACAGUGAGGUCCUUUUGGGAUAUUGAGGUUGCCUGCUGGACGUAAUUCCCUGAAAUUGGCUGCAUUGACUUGUGGACUCUUUUAUAAGUAGCUGUUGUCUCUGCAAGAAGCAGCCCCCGAAUCAUACCAGGUGUGUUGGGAUCUGGGUUCUGAUGUGUUCUGUUAAUUGAAGCAACUGCAUUUCUCAUUCUGACCUACGGAAGGGACUUGCUGGGAGGGGGAGGCACCUCUGUGCUCACGAGGUCUCUCCCACACAGAGAGGCGGAAGUACAAGUUCCUCCAGCAAAUGUUUACUGAGCAUUGACAGUGCACGGGCAAAUUAGAGAUGUGGAGGGGAAGGGGGCAUUAAUGAAAGCCUGGUCUCUGCCCUCUGGAAGCCUCCAUCCAGCAGGGUGGGAUCAUGGCACUUAGUGAAGGCAAGUCAUGCAUGCGAGACAGAUAACAAGGAGAUGAGACUUCGCAUGCGACUGGAUGUGGAGCUACAUCAUUUAUUACUGCAUACCAAAUUACCCCAAACGGAGUGGCUUAAAAGAACGUUUAUUAUCUUGUUUCUGUGAGUUAGAAAUUUAAGAGUGGCUUAACUGAGGAGUUCUGGCUCAGGGCGUCUCAUCUUGUAGCCCAGACAUCAGCCAGGGCCUCAGUUCUCUGAAGGCUUGACUGGGGCUGGAGCAUCUGUUCCUGAGAAAGGCCUGUCCACAUGGCUGUGGGCCGGGGCCUUGGCUCCUCGCCACAUCUGCCUUUCCAUUGGGCUCUUUGAAUUUCUUCACAAACUGGCAGCUGGUCUCUCCCAGAGUCGAUGAUCCAAGAGAGAGCAAAGCAGAAGCUGCAGUAUCUUUUAUGACCUACCCUUCAAAGAAUGCAUCAUUUCUGCAGUAUUCCAUUGAUUGCGUAGGCCAGUCCUACUCAAUGUGAAAGGGGCAACAAUACUAGGAGACAGGGAUCAUUGGGGACCGUUUUGAAGGCUGGCUAGUGUAGGAUUGUCUCCUGCUAGUAAAGGGACCCAGCAGUGGAGAACAGAGCCCCCGGAUUCCCUGUGUCUGUCUUUAUUCCUGAACAAACUGACAGCCUCUGCGGGGACUACUUCUGGAAGCUCUGCCUCGGGCCCCAGGCAGCGGGAAGAGCUCUGAGUCUGGCCCUGGAGAUGUUGCUGGUGCCUGCUUGUGAACACAGAGACGCCCCUGUUUCAGAGAGGUCUCCUGGCAGGGCGGCGGGGAAGCCAUGCUCCGCGCGCUCCUCCUGAGCUGGCUCCCGAGGGAGUACUCUCUCUUCUUCGCUGUGCGCCUUUGGGGUGGAAGCUUCCUCCGCCCUCCGUCCAGGCUCUGGCUUGCCUCUCUCAAAAGGAAGCAUUUGAAUUGCUGACCCAGAUUGGUCUCAGCUCAAGCAAGAUGCAUUUUCUCCCCGGGCCCAAGGCAGUCAGCCCCCAGAUGAGGUUUAUUUAAUAAAAGAAUUAGUUCCAGUUGAAUUCUCGAGAUGGCAUUAUGGGUUCAUUUGAAGCAAAGUGGAAGGGGCAGGAAGCCCAAAGGUCGAGGAGAAGCUAAUGGACGCUGUUUUCUGAGCAUGCAUGAUGCACCAUCUGAAAAAUGCAAUGUUUCCAGAAUGACAUUUUCAUUUUCCACGCCUGUGGCUUGCUGUCACUCUCCUCACACAUACCCUACGAGGACUAAAUUCUGUUUCAGAUGCACAUUUAGGCCAUGGCUCCUUGUGUCUGUGUUUUCCAUCCCCGGAGCAGACCUCCAGCACUGAUGGCUUGGAGCGGGCCUCUUCAGAGCUCCUGUGGAGAUCUAGCUGUUUCUGCCUCCUAGCAUGCACCCCACUCCUGAGAAUCGCUCACCUGAUCUUCACUCUCAGCCCAUGAGCAUUCAGCGAAGGUGAGUCCAUCCUGGGCUCACCCAGUCCCCAUGGUCCCUCUGGCCCUGGCGAUUGGUUCCAAAUGAGCAUAUGACCGAGGCCAGGCUGGUCAGAACCAGGAUUCAGCUCUGGAAAUUUUGUUGAACUUGUGGACUCGCUGCCAUCAGCUUACCACCUUACGUAGCCACCUGUGCAUCAGGCAACCUGGGAGACAGAGAAAAGAGGCCGGGCCUUGACAUGUCUGUGCUCUGGAGCCAGCUCCAGCCAAACCCAGCCAUACAGGUUCUCUUUUUGCCUAAACCAGUUUGGAUGCCAUAUUCUGUCCAUACGAUAUGCUGCUGCUUUGUGGAAGUCAAGUGUCCCACCGCUCCCACAUGGAGCCUAGUGCCUGGGGUGCAGAAGCCAUGGGAAUGGGUCUCUUAGUGUCUCGUACAUGUCCACCAUUUGAGGGACCCAAGGCAGUCCAAACUGGCCUCGGCACCAUGCACAGAUGCCCACCAGCUGGGGCUCAGGUCUCAGGAUUGCAGGCUUGGGCUGGCAGAAAUGAACCUGAGGCUUAUGGUGGGGCUGUCGCAGUCUAGCUUGCUACCUGCUUGUGUCUUGUCAACCUCUCUUGGCAAACAGGGAGAGUGUACCUGCACUGCAGACUUGCUCUGUCUCUGAUCUGCAGCCUUCUCUGCGUCAGCGCCCGUUCUUCCGGCCUGCUCGGAGCCAGACCCUUCCCCUCCCCACCUCCUGGGGUCUUGCUCUGUCAAUUUUCUCAGGCUCUACCUGUCAAUUGCCUUUUUCUCUUCAGACUAUAUACAGAUUUCAGAUCUGGACACUGAGCAGAAAGUGCCGCCACCGUUUUGGUCCUGCCCUCCCUUCUAGCUACUAAUCUUCUUCCCUUCUCAGCCAAGCUUCUUGAAAGUGUGGUCUGUACCCUUUUCUCCCAUCUCACUCACUCCCCGCCACCUCAGUGUCUGGUAGAGGAGACCAGUUUGCAGUAUUGGCAUGAACAGUGGAACCAGCGCACACGGAGCCACAGCACCGUGUGCUCACGGCGUGGCUGGCAUGGUGCCUGUGUGUGCCCUCCUGACGUUGAUGCCCGGGGUCCCUGAGGUGUUGGACAGUGUGGAGCCGUCAGUUUCUUAGAACUCUGAAGCUGUGGGUUCCAAUCCUCAUUCUCUGAGGUGUUUCCUUCUACUUCUCCGCGUCUUGGCCUCCUGGUGCCCCCCAAGCCUGCGGGUUUUGUCUUUUAUGUACUGGCCUUCUGCCACCAGCCCCCUCCAGCUCGCUCAUGGCUUUAGUUACCAGCUCUGUGCACUUGCUCCCAGAUAUUUAUCUCUGGACCCAACCUCUCCCAUGGCUGACCACUGUCUGCUAGCUAUUCCGCAGGAAUCUCAAAUUCAAGAUGUCUGGAACGGACUUGUGCCUCUGGCCAUGACAGAACAGGAGGGCUGAGUUUACCCUUCCAUCACGAACACCUAAAAAACCAGACAAAAUAUAUGUCACAGCUGUUCUCAGGCAGUGAACGAUGGGCAGCCAGGGCGGUGGCCAUGAGAGACGGAGACAACUGGGGUAAGGCCUGGCUCAUCUGAGCUUCCUGCCUGGAGCGAGUCUCCAGGGAGGAGGGUCCUCACAGAGCCCCAUGGCCUCCCUGCGACGGGGAGACCGGGUGGAGGAUCUGGGGAGGCCAAGGCGGCUGGCACUGCAGGCAGACCACCAGAGGAGGGAGAGCAGGAGAGCUCCCUGGAGGCCCGCAGGCCCACUCGAGCCUUCGGCUGAGUGCCCAUCGGUGCCUCGUGUGAGGGGACAAAGCUUGAGGCUGCUGAGAGGACCCCAGGGAAGGAGCAGAGAGAAGGGUCUCUGGAACUCACACGUUCCCAGUAGCUGAGUGGAGAAACCUUGCAAUGCACAGGGCAUCAGGAAAAUACUCAGUACCCACAACUUAGGUAAAAUGGACACAUUUCUUGAAAGACCCAAAUGACCAAAGCUUACUCAAGAAAGAAGUAGAUAACUCAAAUAGCCCUAUAUCUAUUAAAGAAAUUGAAUUUCUAGUAAAAAAUCUUCCUAUAGGGUCCGGCCUGGUGGCAUAGUGGUUAAGUUCGUGCUCUCUGCUUUGGCAGCAGAGGUUCUUGAAGGUUCCACAAGGUUCUUGGAGGUUCUCGAUGGCAUUGGAUCUUGAAGUUUCGGAUCCUGGACGCAGAUGUAGCACUGCUCAUCAAGCCACGCUGUGGCAGCAUCCCCCAUAAAACAGAGGAAGAUGGGCACAGAUGUUAGCUCAGGGCCAAUCUUCCCCACAAAAACAAACAAAAAAACCCCCAAAACCUUCCUACAAAGAAAACUACAGCCUAUGGUGGCUUUAGUGGGAAAUUCUACUAAUCAUUUAAGGAAGAAAUAAUACCAAUUAUAUCCAAACUCUUCUAGAAAAUUGAAGAUGAGGGAACACUUCCCAAUUCAUUCUCUGAGGCUAGUAUUACCUUUAAUGUCAAAACCAGAAAAAGACAUUACAAGAAAAGAAGACUGCAAAUUAAAAUUUCUCAUAAAUAUAGACGUGAAAAUUUUUAACAAAAUUUUAGCAAAUUGGAUCCAACAAAAUACAAAGAAUACAUCGUGACCACUGGAGUUUAUCCUAAGAAUGCAAGAGUAUUUUAAUAUUUGAAAAUAAACCAAUGUAGUUCAUCUUUAACAGAUAAAAAGGAAGGAAGAUCUUAUGAUUAUCUCAAUAGGUGCAGACAAAUUAUUUGGCAAAAUCCAACGUCCACUCAUGAUUAAAAAUCCUCAGUAAA